rnacentral:rRNA from 1 species
CCUGCCGAAUGAAUUAGCCCUGAAAAUGGAUGGCGCUGAAGCGGGCGGCCGACACCGCGCCGUGUGACCGAGCUUUGUGUCACAUGAGUAGGAGGGCGUGGCGGGCGUGGCGAAGCAUGGGCGCGAGCCUGUGUGGAACGGUCCGCUAGUGCAGAUCUUGGUGGUAGUAGCAAGUAUUCAAGCGAGAACCUUGAAGGGCGAAGCGGGGAAGGGUUCCACGCGAACAUUGAUUGGGCGUGGGUGAGUCGUUCCUAAGCCGAGUGGCAAUUGCUAAGUAGCGGCGAAAGGGAAGCGGGUUGAAAUUCCCGCACACGGAUGUGGAGCGCGGCGACGCGGAAUGAGGGCGAACACGCUGGCGAUGGCGCUGGGCAGAGUUGUCUUUUCUGUUUGACCGAGUGUGCGGGCGGUGUGGAAUCCGCUUGUCGGGAGAAACACGCGCGCACGGGCAGAGCGCCGGGGCUUUUCCGGCGUCCAGCUCGCCAUCGACGGCCCUUGAAACUUUGCCUGCUGGUUUGAGAUCCACGCCGUGGCGUACCGAUCACCGCAUCAGGUCCCCGAGGUGAACAGCCUCUGCUCGAUAUGAACAAUGCAGGU